GACGAACGCUGGCGGCGUGCUUAACACAUGCCAGUCGAACGGAAAGGCCCUGCUUGCAGGGUACUCGAGUGGCGAACGGGUGAGUAACACGUGGGUGAUCUGCCCUGCACUUCGGGAUAAGCUUGGGAAACUGGGUCUAAUACCGGAUAGGACCGCACUUUAGUGUGUGUGGUGGAAAGUUUUUUCGGUGUAGGAUGAGCUCGCGGCCUAUCAGCUUGUUGGUGGGGUAAUGGCCUACCAAGGCGGCGACGGGUAGCCGGCCUGAGAGGGUGUACGGCCACAUUGGGACUGAGAUACGGCCCAGACUCCUACGGGAGGCAGCAGUGGGGAAUAUUGCACAAUGGGCGCAAGCCUGAUGCAGCGACGCCGCGUGGGGGAUGAAGGCCUUCGGGUUGUAAACUCCUUUCGCUAGGGACGAAGCUUUGUUGUGACGGUACCUAGAUAAGAAGCACCGGCUAACUACGUG
rnacentral:rRNA from 1 species